UAUUAAUGUGAUUUCGUAAAAAAAUUAAGAAAAUAAUCUUGGCGUUAAAGUAAAGAAAUAAUAAUUUUUUUUAUCAAUUAUGUUUUUAUGCUACUUUGUACCGAUCAUCUUUUUUUAUUCUAAUUUUAGUUUUGCAAAUUAACAUAUACCAAAUUGUUUUUAAAAUCAAAUGUGUACUUACACAUUUAAGAUGAAUACUCACACUAAUACAAUGAAUACAAUUAGUUCGAUUUGGUUAAAUUCGAUUAAAAUAGUUGUAUUUUAAUUUGAAAAAUAUAUGUAACACAAUAUAUCCACAAAAAUAAUAUAUUAUACGCAACGACUUCUAAACACAAACAUUAAAAUAAAAUGUAAUAAAUUUAAUCUACAUAAUCUCUCCACACCUAAAGAUUCUUAACAACUAUAAACAUUCUAAUACAUUUCUGUUGCAAAUGCUGACACAAAACACAUGCAAUCAAAAUACACAAUAAAAUUGUCAUACAAAUCAUACGUAAGUUAUAUUAUGUGCUAAGCGCGGAUCGAUCCUAGAACGUUUAUAGUUGGUACAACCAUGAACCGGUCAAGUAGUCCGAUUGGAUCCAUACUAGGUAAAGUUUACUGUUUUACAUAAUUAAAAAUAGAUUUCAAAGAGAGUAAGAAAUAAAAUAAAUAUUAAUAUAUAAAACAUAAAAAAAACUCAUAUGUUAAAUCUCACUACCAGUAUUGAAAAAUGUAAAAUAAUGACAUAAUAAAAUGUUUUUAUUUAGGUAAACAUAUAUUUUUAAAUAAAAAUAACAAAAGUAAAUAAUAAAUAAAUUUUAAAAUUAUUUAUACAUUAUUAUAAUAAAUAAAGAUAUAUUUUUAUAGCAUAAUUAUUAUUUUUAAGAGAAAUUAAAAUAUUUUGUAUUUAUAAAUUAUUAGUUAUAUUCAAAAUUGUUAACAUAAUGAAAAGUUAUUAGUUAUAUUUAAAAUUGUAAAGACUUUUAAAAUAUAUUAGAAAUAUGCAUCGAUGUAAGCAAAAUAAAAUAUAGUUUCAUUUAUACAAUUUCAAUAAACCUAUUAAAAAAUUUAGUCAACAAAAAAAGGGAAGCUGAAUAUUAACACAAAAACUACAUAAAUAAUAUUAAUGAUUAAUAUAUUAUUAAACUAAACAUUUAAAAAUUUAAACAAAUAUUAAAAAGUUUUGAUCCGAGAGCUAGUGUUAAAGGAUUUACUUUUAUCGAGUAAACUAGUUUGCUUAAGAAAAUUAAUGUUCUCUUUAAAUUGCAUUUAUCAUCCAACGGACAUGAUUAUAAAAACAAAAUAAAUAAUUUUAAAGGGAAAACCAAAAGACUCUAGCCAUUUAAUUAGUAACGGUAACAUUAUUUUCCCUUAUCUAUAUAUAUCUUCUUCUUCAUUCCAUCUAAACUACACAGUCUACACUACACUCCAUUACAAUCCAAAUGAAUUGGUCUUUGACCCCAAUGCUUCGGUCCUGGGGACAGCAGCCGGUUUAUAGUCUUCUCAACUUGUUUGAUCUGAUGAUGUUUCCGUGAUUUGAGAGUGGGAAGGAAGCAGAAAAUCAAAGAAGAAGCAGGUUAAGAUCACUUCAUUGAAAUUCAGAACUGAGAGGUAUGAGUUUCUCUGAUCAAAAAUAUUGAAAAAUUUACGGAUUAUUUGUAGAAAUUGACUGAAGCCUGACUGUUGGUUGGUGUUUUGUGUCUCUGCAGCAAAGAGUUAAGGUGAAAGAGGAAGAAGUCUGCCGAGAAGAUUCAAGUGAUAGAUGGUGGAAGAAAAGAUGAGAAUCCCCAUUGCUCAAGGUAUCUAAUUUCGUUCUUUUCUUUUCUGUUUUUUUUAAAUCUUUUUUUUUGGGGAGAUUAUAUAUUUACUUGGAUUGAAAAAGGAAGAAGCUUAUGUGUAUAUUCAUAGUGUGGAAACAAUUAGAAACUAGCGUCCCAUCAUUUGAUUGAUCGUUAGAGGUUAUGUUCCAUUUGAAUUUAUACUUAUGAGAUCACUUUGUUAUUUCUAUCAGUUCUUGGCAAAUAUUCUAUAUUUACUUUGAUUGAAAAUGGAAGAAGCUUUAUGUAUUCAUAAUGUGAAAACAAUUAGAAACUAACAUCCUGUCUAUUUGAAUGAUUGUUAGAGAGGUUAUGUUCCAUUUGAAUUUACACUUAUGAGAUCACUUUGUUAUUUCUAUCAGUUCUUGGCAUAUAUUAUAUAUUUGCUUAGAUUGAAAAUGGAAGAAGCUUAUGUGUAUCUUCAUAUUGUGGAAACACUUAUGAGAUCAUUUUGUUAUUUUUAUCAGUUCUUGGCAAUAUUUUAUAUUUGCUUAGAUUGAAAAUGGAAGAAGCUUAUGUGUAUCUCCAUAAUGUGGAAACACUUAUGAGAUCAUUUUGUUAUUUCUAUCAGUUCUUGGCAAUAUUAUAUAUUUGCUUAGAUUGAAAAUGGAAGAAGCUUAUGUGUAUCUUCAUAAUGUGGAAACACUUAUGAGAUCAUUUUGUUAUUUCUAUCAGUUCUUGGCAAUAUUAUAUCUUUGCUUAGAUUGAAAAUGGAAGAAGCUUAUGUGUAUCUUGAUAAUGUGGAAACACUUAUGAGAUCAUUUUGUUAUUUCUAUCAGUUCUUGGCAAAUAUUCUAUAUUUGCUUAGAUUGAAAAUGGAAGAAGCUUAUGUGUAUCUUCAUAAUGUGGAAACAAUUAGAAACUAGCGUCCAGUCUAUUUGAUUGAUUAUUAGAGAGGUUAGGUUCCAUUUGAGUUAACACUUAUGAGAUCAUUUUGUUAUUCCUAUCAGUUCUUGGCAAUAUUCUAUAUUUUCUUAGAUUGAAAAGGAAGAAGCUUAUGUGUAUAUUCAUAAUGUAGAAACAAUUAGGAACUAGCAUCCUAUCUAUUUGAAUGAUUGUUAGAGAGGUUAGGUUCCAUUUGACUUUACACUUAUGAGAUCACUUUGUUAUUCCUAUCAAUCCUUGGCAAUAUACAGUUUUCCCCUCUUGUGUUUUAAACGUUUUAAAAAAAUUGCGUGUUUGCAAUCAUGUGAUGAUGAUGUGCAUGUUUGUUUGUUUCCGUGCAAUCAUGUGAUGAGGAAGAAGCUUGUGAGAUUGGAGAUGGUCAGGAGGAGCUUGAGAAUGAGAGCUGAUAUUAGGAUUAUGAAACAUUUGGUCACGUGGCCAACAACAAAGGUUUCUCCUAUUUUCUAUUAUGUCUUGCUGUCACCCGCCAAUAGAUUUCAAUUGCUAAUCUGUUAUGUUUAUGUGCCUUUUGGUUGGUCAGGUAGUGUUAUAUGUUGGGAGUCUUGAGCAUAUCUUCAAGCAAGAAGGCAUGCGUGGCUUAUACCGUGGUCUUUUCCCCUACCGUCAUGGCUCUUCUCUCGAAAUUGGGCGGUUUAUUUCACAAUGUAGGACCAACUCAAGAGCUUUUUAAUUUCAAAUGAUGAGGAUCACAAACUCAGCGGCGUUGGUGCUAACGUAAUGGCUGCCUCUGGACCAUUGCCACUAAUCAUCCUCUUUGGGUUGUCAAGAGUCGUCUUCAGGUCCCCCUUUUUCUUCUUCUUGGCUUUGAUUUAUGCAAUCAAAGAAGGAACGUUAAGUAUUUACCCUGCCCUGCUUAACAAUAAGAAAUGAGCUGAGUGAUUUUAGGUUAACAUGGAGUAUGGUCUUGAUCCAACAAUUGGGAAAGCCAUUAUGCAAGCAGCUCAGGAAGUAGCUGAGGGAAAGCUCAAUGAUCAUUUUCCCCUGGUAGUGGCACUCAGAGUAACAUGAAUGCCAACGAGGUCACUUUCUCACUUGCCACAUCUAUAUAUAUAUGUUUCUCUCAUUCUUUAGUGCUUUACAAUACAAUACAAGGCCCUUGUGUUUUAUGUGUUUUGCUCUUUAGGUCAUUGCUAACAGAGCAGCUGAGAUUCUUGGUCGCCAACGUGGUGAAAAAUGUGUCAACAGAUCCCAAUCUUCUAACGACACUUUCCCUACUGUCAUGCACAUACCGAGAUUAAUUCAAGGCUCAUCCCUAGUUUGAAAACUUUGCAUUCCACUCUCGACUCUAAGGUCUCUCCUCUCUUCUCAACUUACACACUUACUCUCUGAAUUGCAACAUGAAACUUGCUCUAAAUAGUAUCAUAAAUUACUUCUGACCUCACUUCAGUGUGUUUAUAUUUCUGUUGCGUUUGUUAAUUUUCUCAAACUUAUCUCCUUUUCUGGCAGUCCUUGGAGUUCAAAGAUAUUGUGAAAAUUGGAAGAACUCACACUCAAGAUGCUACUCCUUUGAUUCUAGGACAAGAAUUCGGUGGCUAUGCUACUCAUUUCUCAAGUAUGCUGUUUAUUCAGAAACAAUUAUGUUUGUCUUGCACAAGUGAAAAUCACAUGCAAUUUCAAAAUUUGGAACUCAUGAUUGCAGGUCAAGUAUGGGCUUAAUAGGGUCACAUGCACUCUACCCCGCCUCUAUCAGCUUGCACAAGGUGGAACUGCUGUUGGAAGAGGAUUAAACACCAA